UACGGAGGGGGCUAGCGUUGUUCGGAAUUACUGGGCGUAAAGCGCACGUAGGCGGACGUGUAAGUCAGGGGUGAAAUCCCGAGGCUCAACCUCGGAACUGCCUUUGAUACUGCAAGUCUCGAGUCCGGAAGAGGUGAGUGGAAUUCCUAGUGUAGAGGUGAAAUUCGUAGAUAUUAGGAAGAACACCAGUGGCGAAGGCGGCCACCUGGACAGUAACUGACGCUGAGGCGCGAAAGCGUGGGUAGCAAACAGG
rnacentral:rRNA from 1 species